UACGUAGGGUGCAAGCGUUAAUCGGAAUUACUGGGCGUAAAGCGUGCGCAGGCGGUUUUGUAAGUCUGUCGUGAAAUCCCCGGGCUCAACCGGGGAAUUGCGAUGGAGACUGCAAGGCUAGAAUCUGGCAGAGGGGGGUAGAAUUCCACGUGUAGCAGUGAAAUGCGUAGAGAUGUGGAGGAACACCGAUGGCGAAGGCAGCCCCCUGGGUCAAGAUUGACGCUCAUGCACGAAAGCGUGGGGAGCAAACAGG
rnacentral:rRNA from 1 species